AUAAUUAUUUUUAGGAUUCAAUCCAGCAUUAAAUCCUAAAUCCAUGGUUUUCAAUUAAAUCAUUUGUACUUCUUUUUUUUUUCCCAAUCAAUAAUUUUCUAACGGUUAUUUGUCUUUCGUUUGGAAGGUUUAGAUCCAUGGUUUCUCUCCAACGAAACGUAGGUGUUUUCCUGAGAACCUAGGGCUUUUACACACAUGGCGGUGGUGAAAUUAGAGAUUGUCGAGAGAAGUCAUAGACGCCGAUAGGGUUAGGUCGUCGGUGCUUUCCUCGUUAUCCUGCUUGUUAUGGCGAUGAAUCCAGUGAUCUCGCUCUUCGGUCGCAGCAACAAUUGUAACUUGCCAUUGUGCGAGGGCUAAGUUGUGGUGUGACUGCCCUUUCUGGCUAGAUGACUUGCGAGAUUCCUGUGUUUGUGAAUGCCUUGAAAGUGAGUUCCCUGAAUCAUUUCAGAAGCCCUUUAAUCAUGACUUUUCAUCAAAAGAUCUCAUUAAUCAAGAGGGAAAGCCGCAGGCUGUUGUCAACCAUACACUAGAUGCCAAAGCUUUCAAAGGCUGGGUAGAAGUAAACAAUCCAUGGACAAAUGAUGACGAGACUGACAAUGGUGGAUUCUUUUUAGUCAAUAACACUGUAUCUUUUUUGCCUUUAAGUUACUCUUAUGGUUUUGAUGGUUCAUUUUCAUUUGCAGCAGAGAUGACAUCUGAAUUAGUGUUGGGGUUCCUAAUCAGGGUUUAGGGCUGGCUAAGUUCUGACAUUUUUCUUGCUUUUGCUAUUUUUUCCUUUAAAUCUAUCUCAGUUGAAGCUAUUUCCUUCUCUAUUUUUUACCACUGUUAUUUCUUUCUUUGCUAUGUCACCUGCUUAUAAAACUUAGAUCUUCACACUUUUAAAACCUUAGUUUUGUUAAGCUAUAUUACCCAUCUUCCUUAUAGUUUGACAUGCAUGGAGAAUGUGAUUAAAUGUAGUAGUAGUAAACUAGUAUAUGGUAAUAUUGUUUUCCUCGUCAAAGUGAGCAUUGUAUAGUUGUUGUUUGGUUCCUUUAGCUUAUUUAGCUUAUCAUAAUUUUAACUUUAAAUGAUUAUUAUAUUUAACAUGGUCACUUUGUAUCUUGUUUUAGUUUAUUGUAUGGGCUCCAACAAGGGAGAGAGCAAUUGAGCUUAUGAAAAGGGCUCUUGAUGACACUAUUACAUUAAAGAAAAAAUAGUUACCUGGUUAGUCAGGAGAAAAAAUGCUGGCAUUUCCCUUUUGGACUUUCUCUGUUUGUUUCUUGGAAAUAACAGGGGAAAAAAUAUAAAGAAUAUCCAAUAAUUUUCCUUCUAAUUCUUACCCUAAAUGAUUGGUGGCAAGGCUUAUUUUUGUGCCCUUGGGUAAACAUAGGGUACAGAUACACAUUUUAGAGGAGUAUUCUGAAUAAUAGAGUUAUAAAAAGCAGGGCGGAAAUUAUGCACUGUUUGGUUUUACAUGGCAACAAAUACUGGAAACAAUUUUUCGUUGCUCCAUGUGUUUGCGUAAGAAAAUUGCUCUCAUUCAUCCCAUUCAUAUUGUUCAUUCACUGAUAUGAAGACCUUCAAGAUGAUGGAUCUUCAUAAGCCCCCCCGUAUUAGAUUUUGCUUAUUUUGCAUUUUUUCCCACUAAAUGCAGUUUUAUAUCUAAAAAUCCAGCCUAUAGAUAAAAAAAUUAUAAGAAUUUUGAUGUCAACUUUCUUCUUCGAAAACCACUUUGGACAGUCAUAGAAAUAGACCAUGAAAACCACAGCAUACUCCCAAAAGGAACUAAGCUAGCACGAAUGGUUGUUACCCCAACGCCACUUCCUCCCUUAGGCCAUCCCAUACAGAAGUAUGAUUAGGAUACACUAUGAUCAGGAUAGCUCUUGAUGUCAAGUAAGACAACAUAAGUGCAUAAAUGGGGAUUGGGGGGGGGGGGGGGGGUGUGAUCAAAGGGAUUGGGGGGGGUGUGAUCAAAGGCCCUUUCCGGCUUACUCCUUUGAUGGAUUUGUGCAGUGUCUCCUUAAGACUCAUGAUUGAAAAGUGAAGGAUCCACAUCUUUAAUAAUGGGUGGCAGUUCACCAUUGUCACAACCUAUCUUCCAAGUCUUGUGCUCUUGUUGUGUGAAAUUAUUAAUAAGUAGCAUCAAUGAACCAACAAAUCCCUACAUGGAACCUUUGACAGUUCAAAUAGUGCCUGGAAUUUGGACUUGAGCAAAAAGAGUUUACUCCUUUUUGUUUGAGGCUGAUGACAGUUGACACUAUCCCUUAUUCUUUAAAAGUUCCUAAUGUUUAUAGAACAUCAGCUUCACUUUGUAGGAUUUUGGUGGUCAGGAUAAUGUAUUAACAUUUGUUUAUGAACCAUAUUCUGCUAUUCUUUUCAUAUUUCAAAAUAUAUACUCAUAUAUAGCCAUUAUUUCUGUAUAAGAUUUUAACUCUCUCUUUCUCUCUGUCAUGCCAUAUCUUAUUGACAAAGUUAUUACUAAAAUUUUAAUUCAUCUAAUGCCUUAAAAAACAAUUUGAUUCUUAUAUAGAUUCCUCCAUUGUGGAGGCAAUAUUUCCAAAACACUCAAGGUCUUAUGUUUGUGGUGGAUAACAAUGAUAGAGAUCAAGUUGUUGAGGUCAGGAAUGAGUUGCAUAGGAUGUUGAAUGAAGUAUCUUACUAUUUAGUAAAACCCAUCUCUAUGUAUAACAUUCACAGUCAUCAGACAAGAACUGAUGUUCAGGCCAGUCAAGAGGCUAGGAGCAUUGGUUAAUCUGUCAGUCACUCCAAUUAAGAAUUAAAUAUUGUUGUCAUUUUGGAAGGAAAUAUAACUGGUUGGAAAGGCUUGUCCGGGAGAGGUUUGCUAUAACUUCCUGGUCUCUCAAAAUAGGUUAUGGUACCAAUUUUAUGGCUGGGGUCCAUCUUAAUUUUCUUUUUAGCAUGGUAGCACCCUAUGAAACAUGUUAUGUUGCAUGGUAUGCUAUUGAUGAAUAUUAAUAUUGGAUGAAGGAACUAAAUUGAAGCAAAAGUAAAUGUCAUUUUUGCAGCAUCACUUAAGCAUGUUAUUGGAUAGUAUUCUGUUGAGUCAUAUUGAAUUUUUUUUACCACAAAGUAAUUAAAGGGAUACGAAUUCCACUCGUCAAUAAUAAUAAUAAUGCUGGUUAUUUUAAUCUGGCCGAAAACAAGUGGCAGAUUCCAUAUGACGUGGAUUCUAGUUAUGCAUAUUGGGGUUUGUGUAGAGAUUGUUGUUAGCUAAAAGGUGGCCGAGAGGAUUUGGCCCCUGAAUUCUUUGACUAGUCCAUGAUGUUGUGUUGGCUGCAUAAGUGGGUACUAGAUGGCAAUUUGUUUGUGUUAUUACUUGUUAACAAGAGCAUGUAACUAGAGAAGGCUUUUUAUCACAUUAUUUACUUGCAGUCCAUUAUUUCUAAAGCUAUUUUUUUUGGCAUCGCUGCCAUUUUUUUUCAUGUCUUCUUAGUGGGAGAGACAACAAAAACAUUUAUUAAUAGUUCCAUUUUUCAGUUACAAAUUGAAAAUUUAAAAUAAAAUGGGGGCAAGAAGACUAAUGUUAAGGAUUUUUUAUUUUAGGAUGAGCUCCAUGAUGCUGUGCUACUUGUAUUUGGUACAUCCAGAUUCCAGAGCACCUGUGCAACCUCUAGUGAAGGGCUUUACGGGGGGAUUGGAUUGGCUCUUCAACAAUAAUGCUAACAAGGCUUGAGGCAAUUGAGGAGUCUAUUCCUGUGGAUGGGUGGUCUUGGAUGUAGGGGUGAAUAUUAUCUAGUUAUCUUCAUUUUUCUUCGAUUUUUUCUUCCCCUUUUCUUUUUAUAUUUUUCCUUGAGACAGUUGGCUUGUAGUAAUGCCUUUUUCUUGAGGAAGCUUUUAUUUAGGACAACAAAUUUGUACUAGAAGAAUGGUCGGUUGGAUAUAAAUAUACUCGACAAGUUUUUA